rnacentral:lncRNA from 1 species
GUCAGAGUUGGGCAAUCGUCACCACCACCUAAGUUUAGCAAAUUUUCCUCACCCAAAAUGGAAACCCCAUACCCAUUAGCCAUCAUCCCCAUUUCCCCUGGCCACUCUCAGCUCUAGGCACCUACUUAUCUACUUUCGGUCCCUACACACCUGCCUGUUCUGGAUAUCUCAUAUAGAUGGAACCAUAUGACAUGUGACCUUUUGUGCCUGGCUUCUUUCUCUUAGUGGAAGGUUUUCAAGGUGCAUCCAUGUUAUAUAAGCAUGUUUAAGUGUUCAUUCCUUUUUAUUGCCAAAUAAUAUUCCAUUGUCUCGAUCCACCACAUUUGGCUUAUCCACUCCUCGGCUGAUGGACAUUUGGGUUGUUUCUACUUUUUGUCAAUUAUGAAUAGUGCUGCUAUGAUCACUUAUACACAAGUUUUUGUGUAGACAUGUUUCAUUGUCUUGGGUAUAUACUUAGGAGUAGACUUGCUGGGUCAUGUGUAACUCUAUGUUUCCCUUCUUGAGGAACUACCAAGCUGUUUUCCAAAGUGGCCGCACCAUUUUAUAUUCCCACCAGCAAUGUACGAGGGUUCCAAUUUCUCUCCUUGGGAAAUCUAUCCAAAUCCAUUGGAAUCUACUCAAAUCCAUUGUCUGUCUUAAAAUGGGGCUGUCUUUUUGUUGCUGAGUUGUGUUGUGGGUUGAAUUGUGACCCCCCCACAAAAGGACAUGUUGAAACCCUACCCCCCAGUACCUCAGAAUGUGACCUUUUUUGGAAAUAUAGUCUUUGCAGAAGUAAUUAGUUAAGAUGAGGUCAUGUUGGAGUAGAAUGGGCUGUUCAUCCAGUAUGACUGAUGUCCUUAUAAGAGGAGGAGAAAAGAUACACAAAGAGAGGAGAACACCAAGUGAAGACAGAGAUACAGAGGAAGAACUUGUAUGACAGCAGAACAUGUGUGACAGCAGAGGGGAGACCGGAGUGACAUGUCUACAAGCCAAGGAAUGCAAACGAGCACCUGCAACGCCAAAACCCAGGAGAAAGGCGGGAACAGAUUCUUCCUUAGAUUCUCCAGAAGGAGCCUCCAGAACGAUCAGAGAAUAAAUACCAGUUUUGUUUUGUUUUUGAGACAGAACCUCACUCUGUCACCCAGGCUGGAGUGCAAUGGUGCAAUCUCAGCUCACUGCAACCCCCGCCUCCCAGGUUCAAGCAAUUCUGCUGCCUCGGCCUCCCGAGUAGCUGGGGUUACAGAUGCUUGCCACCAUGCCCGGCUAAUUUUUGUAUUUCUAGUAGAGACAAAACCUUGUCGGCCAGGCUGGUCUUGAACUCCUGACCCCAGGUGACCCACUUGCCUCAGCCUUCCAAAGUGCUGGGAUUACAGGCGUGAGCCACUGUGCCUGGCCUAUUUUGUUUUGUUUUGAGGCAGGGUCUCGCUCUUUGCCCAGACUGGAGUACAGUGGUGCAAUCAGGGCUCAUUGCAGCCUUGACUGCCCAGGCUCAAGCAAUCCUCCUGCUUUAGCCCCACUGAAUAGCAGAGACUACAGGCAUGCACCAGCACGCCCAGCAAAUUUUUUAUAUUUUUAGUAGAGAUGGGGUUUCACCAUGUUGGCCAGGCUGGUCUUGAACUCCUGGACUCAAGUGAUCCGCCCACCCUUGCCUCCCAAAGUGCUGAGGUCACAGGCAUGAGCCACCUGCCCAGCAAUGUCUGUUUUUGUUUUUUGUUUUGUUGUUGUUGAGACAGAGUCUUGCUCUGUCGCCCAGGCUGGAGUGCAGUGGCACAAUCCUGGCUCACUGCAAGCUCCGCUUCCCGGGUUCAUGCCAUUCUCCUGCCUCAGCCUCCUGUGUAGCUGGGACUACAGGUGCCUGCCACCACGCCCAGCUAAUUUCUGUUUUGUAUUUUUAGUAGAGACGGUGUUUCACCAUGUUA